AACGACUCUCGGCAACGGAUAUCUCGGCUCUCGCAUCGAUGAAGAACGUAGCGAAAUGCGAUACAUGGUGUGAAUUGCAGAAUCCCGUGAACCAUCGAGUCUUUGAACGCAAGUUGCGCCCGAAGCCAUCAGGUUGAGGGCACGCC
rnacentral:rRNA from 1 species